rnacentral:rRNA from 1 species
AACCAGACUCCUACGGGAGGCAGCAGUGGGGGAUAUUGCACAAUGGGGGAAACCCUGAUGCAGCGACGCCGCGUGAGUGAAGAAGUAUUUCGGUAUGUAAAGCUCUAUCAGCAGGGAAGAAGAUGACAGUACCUGAGUAAGAAGCCCCGGCUAACUACGUGCCAGCAGCCGCGGUAAUACGUAGGGGGCAAGCGUUAUCCGGAUUUACUGGGUGUAAAGGGAGCGUAGACGGUAUGGCAAGUCUGAAGUGAAAGCCCCGGGCUCAACCUGGGAACUGCUUUGGAAACUGUUAAACUAGAGUGCUGGAGAGGCAGGCGGAAUUCCUAGUGUAGCGGUGAAAUGCGUAGAUAUUAGGAGGAACACCAGUGGCGAAGGCGGCCUGCUGGACAGUAACUGACGUUGAGGCUCGAAAGCGUGGGGAGCAAGCAGGAUUAGAUACCCCUGUAA